GACGUAGGGCGCGAGCGUUGUCCGGAUUUAUUGGGCGUAAAGAGCUCGUAGGCGGUUUGUCGCGUCGUUCGUGAAAACUCACAGCUUAACUGUGAGCUUGCGGUCGAUACGGGCAGGCUAGAGUUCGGUAGGGGAGACUGGAAUUCCUGGUGUAGCGGUGAAACGCGCAGAUAUCAGGAGGAACACCGGUGGCGAAGGCGGGUCUCUGGGCAACAACUGACGCUGAGGAGCGAAGGCGUGGGGAGCGAACAGG
rnacentral:rRNA from 1 species